UCACUACUACUGUCCCACACCUGACAGUAAUAGUCAGCCUCAUCCCCGGCCUCGACCCCGCUGAUGGUCAGGGUGGCGGUGUUCCCUGAUUUGGAGCCAGAGAAUCGCUCAGGGAUCCCUGAGGGCCGGUCACUAUCAUAAUAGAUGACCAGCACAGGGGCCUGCGCUGGCUUCUGCUGGUACCAGUGCACAUAUUUACUUCCAAGGUUGUCUCCCCCACAGGUGAUCCUGGCCAUCUGUCCUGGGGACACUGACACCGAGGGUGGCUGAGUCAGCUCAUAGGAGACCGCAGAGCCUGCAAAGGAAAAGAAAGAAAAAAAGUAGAGGUUAACUUGCAGGUGAAAGACCCUUUUUAUGAAAUCCUUGCCCUCCUGAUGUGGACAAGUUCCGGAGAGUCUGUGAACCCUCAAGAUUCAUGUCUGGAACCAGGACAAGUGCGUGGAGCAGCUAUUUGAGCACCAGGAAAGGAAAUGGUACGAUGCAGUUUGGGAUGGUCCCGGCAGAUGGCAUACAACAGAGUCAGUGUCAGACUCCUGGAUUUCCUCAGUGUUCCCUGGCUGGUUUCCUGACAGCCUGAAACUUGAAGGGGCACAAACCUGAAAGCAAAAAGACCAGAGAGCCCUAUUGUUACGGAUUGAAGAUAGGAAAGGAUAUUAUUUGACUUAAAAUGAAGGCUCAGUCCCCUGCACAAGCAGGUGGUUCACACCUGUGUUAUCAUCUCUCUUACACCAGCGCCCCUCCCUGGGUUCACACCGAUGUCCUAUGGAUGGAGACGGGGCUCCCUGCACCAGGUCACUCCACAGCCCCUGUAACCUGAAGGGGUGCAGACCAGCACUGUUCAUUCACAAUACGUUGUGAGCCUCAUGGAAAUCCCACUGUCUCGUCAUCGCAUUAGAAAUACAAAGAGAAGAGAAUGAGUUAAAUAAUAUACUUUAUUUGCUUAACAUAACAAAAAUAGUAUCACCUUCAUAUGUAAUUAAGUACAAUUAUUUGAGACAUCUUA